GCAAGUCUGGUGCCAGCAGCCGCGGUAAUUCCAGCUCCAAUAGCGUAUAUUAAAGUUGCUGCGGUUAAAACGCUCGUAGUUGAAUUGUGGUCUUAGACAACAGUCCCCCUACAAAGGUGUGGCACGGUUGCUCGAGAUCUUCAUUCGUGGUUGCUGUUGUUGCUCUUCAUUGAGUGUCAAUGGUGCCUCGAGAUUUUACUUUGAAAAAAUUAGAGUGCUCAAAGCAGGUUGUGAUGCCUGAAUAAUGGUGCAUGGAAUAAUAGAAUACGAUCUCGGUUCUAUUUUGUUGGUUUUCGAACCGGAGAUAAUGAUUGAAAGGAACAGACGGGGGCAUUCGUAUUGCUGCGUUAGAGGUGAAAUUCUUGGAUCGCAGCAAGAUGAACAAUUGCGAAAGCAUUUGCCAAGAAUGUUUUCAUUAAUCAAGAACGAAAGUUAGAGGUUCGAAGGCGAUCAGAUACCGCCCUAGUUCUAACGGUAAACUAUGCCAACCAGCGAUUCGCCGAAGUUCAUUUAAGACUCGGCGAGCAGCUUCCGGGAAACCAAAGUGUUU
rnacentral:ncRNA from 1 species